GAUGAACGCUGGCGGCGUGCCUAAUACAUGCAAGUCGAGCGAACAGAUAAGGAGCUUGCUCCUUUGACGUUAGCGGCGGACGGGUGAGUAACACGUGGGUAACCUACCUAUAAGACUGGGAUAACUUCGGGAAACCGGAGCUAAUACCGGAUAAUAUUUCGAACCGCAUGGUUCGAUAGUGAAAGAUGGUUUUGCUAUCACUUAUAGAUGGACCCGCGCCGUAUUAGCUAGUUGGUAAGGUAACGGCUUACCAAGGCGACGAUACGUAGCCGACCUGAGAGGGUGAUCGGCCACACUGGAACUGAGACACGGUCCAGACUCCUACGGGAGGCAGCAGUAGGGAAUCUUCCGCAAUGGGCGAAAGCCUGACGGAGCAACGCAGCGUGAGUGAUGAAGGUCUUCGGAUCGUAAAACUCUGUUAUUAGGGAAGAACAUACGUGUAAGUAACUGUGCACGUCUUGACGGUACCUAAUCAGAAAGCCACGGCUAACUACGUG
rnacentral:rRNA from 1 species